CCUGAACCUCAGGUUCCCUGUCUGCUAUAUCACAGGGACUGACAGUGACAGACUCGUGUGGUGACCAUUUGCCUUUGUAUUGCCUGUGUAUGUUGCCAUCUUUACCCCCUCUGUCUCCUUGGGUCUCUUUUUUCCCCAACUAGGUUUCUCCUGAAGUUUGACUGUAUUUCUUCUCCAUCUUUCCAGGAUUCUAUGAUGUACUUUGUCCUCUCUUUUUCAAUGCUUUUAUGAAUGUCUAAUGUUUUCUCUCCCUUUUUCUGUCUGUUCAUAUCUCUAUGAUUGUCUCUCUAUUUGUCUCCUCUCCCCACCCCAUAUCGCUCUCUGCUACUCAUGCUUUCUCCCUAUCCACUCAUCUUUCUGAAUGCCUGCGACUUUCCACCUCUGUAUCUUUACACCUGUUGUCUCUUCCCUCUAUUUCUCUCUCUUUCCCUUUGCCUCUGACCUUAUUUCGAUGAUUGUCUUACUAUUUUCAUGUCCCUGGCCUUAUCCCACUGCACUCAGCACUGGAAGAGGAAUUGAGACACCUAACCCUGCCCCUUACUGCUCAGUCUCCCUGACUGUUGGGUGGGAUGAUGCAGGUGAAGCAGGCUACCUCCAAUCCACCCCUGCCACAUGACCAUUGUGUAGACAGGCUGAGGGUUGGACCCAGGGUUGGAGGUGGUGCUUGGAAAGAGAAGGACCCAGGUUUCCCACUAUCUAUUCCUCAAACGGUGUCUGCUCCCUAUCCUGGUCUCUGUCUCUUUCAUCUCUGUCUCUGAUUCUCUGUUAGUCUCUGGCUCUACAUGUUUGUAUUUGUCACAUGCACACCCUCUCCUUCCUCUGCUGCUAGGUCUUAUUUUCUGCUACCUACUGUUUCUCUUGUUUGGCAUUCUCUCUGUUUCUCCUCUCCCUUCAUGUCUCUUGAUGUCUCUCCUCAUCUCUAUUUCUAUCUCCCUUUUCUCACUGUGCAUCUCUUGCUUCUAUAACUAUUCCCUUGUCUCCUCAACCUCACCUCACUACUCACAACCUCCAUCCAGCCCCACUGCCUCCACCCCUAUACCCUACCUCAUUGGUGGGUCCAGGGCUACCCACCCCUCCUGUGGCAGGGGCCCAGCCCCCCCCCUCCCCUUCAGUUAUCACUCUCCGGACAGAGAUAAAGUUUAUCUGGAGGCUGGGGGAUAGGAAAGCUCCUUAUCAGCUGCCCCACUAGAGUAAGUGCUGCCCCAACCGCGACAGGCAGCAGCCCAGCCGGCACCCUCAACUCUCCCUGGCCCCAGCCCCUUACCCCAGGAGUAAAUGAAAAAAAGAAGAAGAAGAAGAAGAAGAAGAAGAAGAAGAAGAAGAAGAAGAAGAAGUAGUAGUUGGCCCAAGGCCGUGAGUUCUUGCUUCAACUCUCACACUGAUUUGCUGUGUAGUUCCUGGGCAAGCCACCUACUGAGCCUCAGUUGCUUCACCUGGAAAUGGAUACACAUAUAUGUUUUAUUCAACAUCAUUUCUCCAAUGUCUGGAACAGGGCCUAACACACAAUGCCAGCGAUGCUGAGACCAGACUAAGACUGAAGCCGGGAGGCCAGAACUAAAUCCAUGUAUUUCAUAAGGGUAGCAGGGACGCAACCACUUGAGCCAUCAUCAUUGUCUCCCAGAGUGUGCAUUAGCAGGAAGCUGGAACCAGGAGCUGGAGCCAGGUAUGCUAACAAGGAGCAGAAUCAGAACCAGAGCAGCCAGAAUACAAACCAGCACUCUGAUGUGGGAUGCCGGGGCACAAGCCACAGCUUAACCACUGUACCACGGCACAGGCCCCUCAAGACCAGUCCUCUGACAUCUAGUCUGAUGUGGCAUAAUAUUCAUUUUCUGCAUAGUGUUCCAGACUCAGAGCAAAUUCAAGGAUGGGCAGGGGGCCGGUGCUGUGGCCUAGUGGGCUGAGCCUCCAACUGUGGCACUGGCAUCCCAUAUGACUGCCAGUUCAAGUCUCGGCUGCUCCACUUCUGAUCCAGCUCUCUGCUGUGGCCAGGGAAAGCAGUGGAAGAUGGCCCAAGUCCUUGGACCCCUGCACCCACAUGGGAGACCUGGAAGAAGCUCCUCGCUCCUGGCUUUGGAUCGGUCCAGGUCCAGCUGUUGCAGCCACUUGGGAAGUGAACCACUGGAUUGAGGACCUUUCUCUCUGUCUCUCCCUCUCUCUGUGUGUAGCUCUGCUUCUCAAAUAAAUGAAUAAAAUCUUUUAAAAAAAAGAAAAAGGAUGAGCAUGAAUGGCUCUUUUAGGGAACAGGAAGAAAUCAGUGAGGCUUUGAAUCCCAGAGUUAGAGAAGGAUGAAUGAGAGGGGAAGGCAGGGACCAAAUCUUGCAGGGGCUUGGAGGUGAGGCUAAAGAGCCUACUUUAUAAAAAUAUGAUCAAGAUAUAGUAGUGGGGCUGGCGCUGUGACUUAACACAGUAAAGACGCCACCUGCACUCCUGGCACACCAUAUGAGCGCUGGUUCAAGUCCUGGCUGCUCCACUUCCAAUCCAGCUCUCUGCUAAUGGCAAGAGAAAGCGAUGGAAGAUGGCCCAAGUCCUUGGGCCCCUGCAUCUGCGUGGGAGACCGAGAAGAAGCUCCUGGCUCCUGGCUUCGGAUCUGCUCAGCUCCAGACAUUGCAGCCUUUUGGGGAAUGAACCAGCGGAUGAAAGACUUCUCUCUCCCUCUCUGCCUCUGCCUCUCUGUAACUCUGCUUUUCAAAUAAAU